UCUCUCCCGACUCUGUCUGUAACCAUCCAUCCGCUCUGACGUUUGAGCGCAUCUUAGGUUGGGGAGGAGGGCGACGACGAAUCCGCUCCGAGUGAACUCGGCUUCCGCCGCAACCCACUCAUCGUCUUCGUUUCGCUUCAAAGAUCCGAGCUUAUCUACAUGUCGUCUUGAGUUGGAGGCUUUGGCUCUGUUGGGUUUUUUUCCAAUAGCUCAAAGGGCCGAAAGGGGUUCACCAUGAACCACCUCUUUUUGCAGCUAUUAUACUUUGAUUAGGAAAAGAUUGGUGGAUUUAGCCUUUGCCUACAGAAUUUUGGGUCGUUGGUGGAACAACUUGGUUGCUUGACAUUAUAAGGUUCACAUACAAAUGUGACUAGCGGUUACAGUUCCAUAAGGAGGUGGAAGCAGAAGAAGAAUUGGCGUCACCCUUCAGUUUUUCAACCAAAAGGAGGUACUAUGAGUUGGGACCCGACAAUCUACCAUAUGCUGCCAAGUUCUAUGACUUCUGUGGGGCUGAGGGUCUUGAGGCAUCCAGCUGCACUACCAGUUUCCAUGUUUUGUAUGAUGACAAUUGAUUCAUAUUUUCAGUUUUUAAACAAUAAGAUAAUGUAACCGUUCAAACUCCAGAGUGCUUUGUCAUUAAGGUAAAUGAUUUUCGUUUGUUGCUUUGUGCCUUUUGUGAUUAAGAAAGUUUAGUCAUUUGUUUAUUCACAUAUUAAUUAAUUGGUGAGAGGAUGAAAUAUUUCACUGCUGGUUACUAAGAAACUAAUAGAAUCUGACAGAAACGAAUAGAAUCUGACAGAAGAGUUUUCGUUUCUUUUUCUUUGCUUGCAUUAAUUUUGUAUUGUUUUUUUAUUUUAGAAUUCUUUGUGCAUAUUUUUGGGGAUUUUUAUUUGGUUAGAGAAAGGGGAAGAAUAUAGGGAGAGGAGAAUUAUAUCCUUCAAUAGAAAUGCUGCAUUCGUAUUUAUGUAAUUGGUUCCAGGGUUGAAAAAACAGUUAAGUUAUUAUAUGGAAAAGUUAGAAUAUAAUUGCUAUAUAUGGAAGAGUUGGAAUAUAAUUACCAGGACAAAAUGUUAAGCCUGCUCUCUUUCAACCUUAAAUACAUUCUCUUUUCUAUUUGACAAUUGUUGAUUUAUUAUAAUUUUUAUGCUUUGCCUGCAUGUUGAUGCAACCGAUAUUCAUGGGCAAUUUCACGACCUUCCAGAGCUUUUUCGAAUUGGAGGGAAGGUAUCAGAUCUUAAAUACCAAAUCUUCAGGUGAAUUGGCCCUUGCCAUUACCUGGAAAUGACUCCUCUCACUCCCAAAAGAUAAAUUCAGAAAUUCGACGGGUAAUUUUUGGUUAAACGGCAAGCAAAUGUCGUCCUAAGUGUCGUCAUCCUUCUUGGUACAAGGCCACAGCGCAACCACACACCACCCUUCUGCUCCUACUGGUGAGGUAAUAAACGUGGUCCAACCAGAAUCUGAUAAAAUGUCAUUGUAUAUAUGCUUUUCUCGAUUUCUGCUACGAUAAUGAGGGAAUAGAGAGGAUUGCGGCCAGUCAAUCUGAGGUUGAUCAAUUUUGAAUUCGGAAUUCCCUUGGAAACUGUCACAAGUGGUGUGUCUGUUGUGGUUACAUGAAUCAAAAGCGAGUGAAAGGUAAAGCUUCUCUCCAAACAUUCAUCACCAGCAAUUCCAAUCAGAGCCAGGUGCUGCUCGAGACGAUGUUGGAACGUGCAGGUGAUAAGGAUUCAGGGGAUGAGGAGGAAAUGGCAAAGGAGGAGGACCAAAACGCGUUCUCUGUUAGGAUAAUUGGUGCCCUGAAUGCCAUAAAGUCUGCACUCACCACUCAUUAAUUAUAUGGUGAAAGUUUUUACGCAACCUCAUUACUUGGAAAAUUUUGUUCAAUCAACAUUCAAUGCCCUGCCAUCAGAUCAAGUUAAAGUAAGGAGAAAGCUACUACUCUUAUGGAGCUUCUUUGGCUUGGUUAUUCUCAAUCCACAGAUAGUGAUUAUUUAACGACUUCUCCAAACUUCGCUACUCAGCUUUUCAAGUACUUGCAAUUUAUUCUUAAUCAUUCUAAAUUAUUCUUAAUCAUUUACAACUUGCAGAAUUAGUUAAAUGUAUCAAAUGACUAGCAUGUGAAUUUGUGUGUGCGGCUAAAAAUAAUCUUAUCCUUAAGGAUUAUUGAUUGGGCAAAUUUGGUUGAGUAAAUUUAGGGUUAUUAAUUGGGCUAAUUUGGUUGAUUAGUUGAUCCGAAUUGGAUGGGUUUGAGGGUUAGUUUCUAGGAAUGUUCCAUUGAUGUUCUUUUUCUUCUACACAGUUACCAAAAUCUCAAGUCCCCAUUUGAUCCUCGAGUACGACACAAUCAUAUUUGCUAUAAUACAAUCAUAUUCUUGA